rnacentral:rRNA from 1 species
AACGAACGCUGGCGGCGUGCUUAACACAUGCAAGUCGAACGAGAAAGCUCUUUCGGGAGCGAGUAAAGUGGCGCACGGGUCAUUAACACGUGGAUAAUCUGCCUUUAGGAGAAGGGCAACCUGUCGAAAGACGGGCUAAUCCUUCAUAAGACCACAGUACCUUCGGGUACAGAGGUAAAAGUGGCCUCUAUUUAUAAGCUAUUGCCUAAAGAUGAGUCCGCGCACCAUUAGCAGUUGGCGGGUAAAGGCCCACCAAGGCAAAGAUGGUUAGCUGGUCUGAGAGGACGAUCAGCGACACUGGAACUGAGACACGGUCCAGACUCCUACGGGAGGCAGCAGUGGGAAUUUUGGACAAUGGGCGAAAGCCUGAUCCAGCAACGCCGCGUGAGUGAUGAA